rnacentral:rRNA from 1 species
UCGCUACUACCGAUUGAAUGGCUUAGUGAGUUCCGGGGAUUGGAGUCUUCAGGUGGGUUUCCAUCUGCUGACACCGAAAACCGGAUCAAACUUGAUCAUUUAGAGGAAGUAA